UCACCAUCUGUCCUCACACAAUCACACACAGAGAGAAAAGCAGGUUUAGUGGGACACACACACGCAGUCCAUCCUGUGACCGGAGCAGCAGCUGGGUGGAUGUGUGCCGUUACCUCGUCAUCUCCGUUUGUUUUCAGGUCUACUGCAGAGAAGCCAUGAACCUUUGAUGAUGGACAGAAUUGAAAGUUUAACCUGAAAACAGAAAUGUCACUUCAUCAGGUCACAUUUAGAACAGCAGCAGGUAUUGACUCAGCAGGUAUUCUGGGUAAAACCCUGACUAUGUUAUGGCCCCAAACAGAAGAGCUGACUCAGCUCUUCUCGCAGCAGGUCAACCUGAGGCUGAGAUUUUACCCAAGGUCCUCGAUGCUGAGUGGGGGCCCGGAGCCCAGGGGGUUCCUCAGCAUCAGGUCCUGCAGUCUGGUGUUCUUCUCGUCCUCAGACAGACUCUUGCUGCCCAGGAUCUGUCUCCUCUUCACAGCCAGCUCUUUCACCUCUUUCAGGAAGGUUGCUCUAAAAAGGGUUGGUGGAGAUCAUUUUCUAAAUGAGUCAAUGUUUUAACAAGCAAACUCAAAAAGGAAACUCUGAACCCAAUGACCUGCUGACCUGUGUGGGUUAACCAGCUGGAAAUCAUCCCAGGUCAGGAUGCCGUGGUACCAGGCGGGGGGCUUCCGUUUGGGCGGGUCCAUGAUGAACUCGGACUUGGAGUCCUCGUCAAAGCUGCCCACCGAGUACGUCUCUUGGCUCUCCUCGGUGGACGCCUCUGACUGCACCUCGGACAGCAGCGCCUGCAGAGCAGUUUGAAGAAGGGCUGGGACACAGGCAGGUCCACCAGCCGGUUGUCCUGGAUGCACUUGGCCAGAAAAAUCCCCAGGAAGUGGAAGAGCUUGGUGAUGC